rnacentral:snRNA from 1 species
AUAGCGUGAUCUGAGUGGGAGUGCACACUCCAAUGACAGCCAGAGUUGAUUCAUGUAAUCUGGCUGGCUGGACGGGUGUCCUCUUUCUUCCUCGCUGCUCUAAGGGCAUCCCUCUUGAAGGUGCAUGCUCUUGCUUUGUCAAACAGGAUGCUCUUCCCCAAGAGAGGAAGCCUUGUCUUUUGUCAAGGGUCUAAGAGUAACUGCUUUCUCCUGUUCUAACCACCAAACAAGCUCUGAAGACCAAAACGUGUAAGAUUUUUAUGCUACAUGGAACUAAGUAUGUU